rnacentral:rRNA from 1 species
CCAAUAGCGUAUAUUAAAGUUGUUGCAGUUAAAAAGCUCGUAGUUGAAUUUCGGAAUCAGUACGCUGGUCGUGCCUUCGGUAUGUACUGGUGUCACUGAUUCCUCCCUUCUGACGAACCGUCAUGCUAUUAAUUUAGUGUGGCGGGGAAUCAGGACUGUUACUUUGAAAAAAUUAGAGUGUUUAAAGCAGGCUCACGCUUGAAUACAUUAGCAUGGAAUAAUGAAAUAGGACGUUGAUCUUAUUUUGUUGGUUUCUAGGAUUGACGUAAUGAUUAAUAGGGAUAGUUGGGGGCAUUAGUAUUCAAUUGUCAGAGGUGAAAUUCUUGGAUUUAUUGAAGACUAACUACUGCGAAAGCAUUUGCCAAGGAUGUUUUCAUUAAUCAAGAACGAAAGUUAGGGGAUCGAAGACGAUCAGAUACCGUCGUAGUCUUAACCAUAAACUAUGCCGACUAGGGAUCGGAUGAUGUUAAUUUUUUAAUGACUCAUUCGGCGCCUUACG